rnacentral:rRNA from 1 species
UACGUAGGUGGCAAGCGUUGUCCGGAAUUAUUGGGCGUAAAGCGCGCGCAGGCGGUCUUUUAAGUCUGAUGUGAAAGCCCACGGCUCAACCGUGGAGGGUCAUUGGAAACUGGGAGACUUGAGUGCAGAAGAGAAGAGUGGAAUUCCACGUGUAGCGGUGAAAUGCGUAGAGAUGUGGAGGAACACCAGUGGCGAAGGCGACUCUUUGGUCUGUAACUGACGCUGAGGCGCGAAAGCGUGGGGAGCAAACAGA